AUUGAACGCUGGCGGCAUGCUUUACACAUGCAAGUCGAGCGGCAGCGCGGGGGCAACCCUGGCGGCGAGCGGCGAACGGGUGAGUAAUGCAUCGGAACGUAUCCUCGAGUGGGGGAUAACCCGGCGAAAGUUGGGCUAAUACCGCAUGAGCUCUGAGGAGGAAAGCGGGGGACCUGCGAGGGCCUCGCGCUGGAGGAGCGGCCGAUGUCCGAUUAGCUAGUUGGUGGGGUAAAGGCUUACCAAGGCGACGAUCGGUAGCUGGUCUGAGAGGAUGAUCAGCCACACUGGGACUGAGACACGGCCCAGACUCCUACGGGAGGCAGCAGUGGGGAAUUUUGGACAAUGGGGGCAACCCUGAUCCAGCCAUGCCGCGUGAGUGAAGAAGGCCUUCGGGUUGUAAAGCUCUUUCGGACGGAACGAAAUGGGCGGGACUAAUACUCCUGUCUGAUGACGGUACCGUAAGAAGAAGCACCGGCUAACUACGUG
rnacentral:rRNA from 1 species